UACGGGGGUGGCAAGCGUUGUUCGGAAUUACUGGGCGUAAAGGGCUCGUAGGCGGCCAACUAAGUCAGACGUGAAAUCCCUCGGCUUAACCGGGGAACUGCGUCUGAUACUGGAUGGCUUGAGAUUGGGAGAGGGAUGCGGAAUUCCAGGUGUAGCGGUGAAAUGCGUAGAUAUCUGGAGGAACACCGGUGGCGAAGGCGGCAUCCUGGACCAACACUGACGCUGAGGAGCGAAAGCCAGGGGAGCAAACGGG
rnacentral:rRNA from 1 species